CCUACGGGGGGCAGCAGUGGGGAAUAUUGCGCAAUGGGCGAAAGCCUGACGCAGCGACGCCGCGUGAGGGAUGAAGGUCUUCGGAUCGUAAACCUCUGUCAGCAGGGAAGAACGGUCACUGUGCUAAUCAGCAGUGAAUUGACCGUACCUGCAAAGGAAGCACCGGCUAACUCCGUGCCAGCAGCCGCGGUAAGACGGAGGGUGCGAGCGUUAAUCGGUAUUACUGGGCGUAAAGCGCUCGUAGGCGGUAUGUCAAUUCAAGGGUGAAAUCCCCGGGCUCAACGUGGGAACUGCCUUUGAAACUGGCAGACUGGAGUGUGUGAGAGGAUAGUGGAAUUCCAGGUGUAGGAGUGAAAUCCGUAGAUAUCUGGAGGAACAUCAGUGGCGAAGGCGGCUAUCUGGCACAUAACUGACGCUGAGGAGCGAAAGCGUGGGUAGCAAACAGGAUUAGAUACCCUGGUAGUC
rnacentral:rRNA from 1 species